CAGCCAGGCAUGUGGCACACGCCUGUAAUCCCAGUUACUAGGGAGGCUGCAGCAGGAGGACACCGAGUCCAAGACGAGCAUCUUCAGCAUCGAGAGGCUCCAUCUCAACAACAGCAAGGACAGGAGACCAAUUAGGGGAAAUAGCAGGUACCGAGAGAGCACAUAUAUUUGUACCCAUCCAGGCCAGGGACGCUGCCCCCUAGUUUUCUCUAUCUAGGUGGCUAUGAUUUAUGACGUUGGUCUCCCAAGACACUUUGCUCAAAUGAUAAUUGCGUCUAUUCUCCCUCCCUGCUUAUUAGAUCAUAAGCAGGAGCACUUUGCUCAAGUAAGAAUUUUCAAUUAAAAAAUCUCCAUAUAUGUACGUAUGUAUGUAUAUAUAUAUAUGUGUAUAUGCACAUAUUUAUGUAUAUUUAUGUAAUCUUUAAAAGCAAAUUUAGGGGGUUCUUUUCAGAAACAAUUGACUGUGAACAAAAGGGAAGAAUUUAAUUUAGAGGCUCCUUAUCCAAGUGAAACAGAGACAUUCUUCUGCUUCUGAAAAACGAUGUGUCCUGGCAGAUAAAUGGCAUGUUCGUCCCUGCCAUCCAUUAGCAAUGAGGACCGGGCAUUUUUUUUUUUUUUUAAAGAGGGGACUAAUGUGAUGGGCUUGCUAGAAAAGAACCAGAGAAAGAGAAAACGGAGGUAUUUUCAUUUCCUUAAAGAUCUGUGAAGUUUUAGGCAUCAAUGCUCUGGUGGGGAAUCUGGCUGGUGAUAAGCUGGGACGUCGGAGCAGAGGGCGGACUGCUUGCAGUGGCCCUGACUCCUUUAUGUCGUCACCAUGGCCCUGUGCAGCUGCUGUCCUCAGAGCACCCUUAUAAGGUCAACGUCAUGAUUCCCAUUUCCAGAUGGCUCUCGAUGGUAUGAACACCUUGCCGGGGUUACAUAGGUAGUGGGUGGCAGAGCCAGGACCUGUGCCCGGGUCUGGGAGACUCCAGGGCUUCCGUGUGCUGCUGUAUCAAACCACCACAGAUGUUGUGCCGUACAGAUAAGUUACCCCACACUUCUGAAGGUCAUGAGUAAGAGAUGCGUCAGCUUCUAGAAACUCAAGGCAAAAGCCUGCCUCCUGUCUUUCUCAGCCUCCGAGGCCACCUGCGUUCCCCGGCCUGGCGUCCCCUCCUUCACCUUCAAGGCCAGCACUGCAGCAUCUUGAAGUCCCUGUGUGACAUUUGCUCCUUUACUACACCUUCUCCUACUAUGUCCCUCCUGCUUCUCUCCUUGUAAGACCCCAUUGAGGACAUUGGGCCCCACCAGGAUGAUUAAUCGGGUCUGGCCUGGAGGAGCGGGAAGGGAUGGCAUAUUUCGUGGCUUCUAACUCUGGGAUUUCUGGGCCCUCAGAGGUUUUGCUUUUCCUUCGGAGUUCCCAGAGUCUGCAUGUUCCAUGUCACUGCAUUUGGAGUGGGGAUCCUGACCGAGGGCUUCUGAUCCAAAGUCAAACCCCUCUGCUGCCUGAUCUACUGUAAUCCUGGUCUCUCCCGGCUUUCAGUCACAUCUCAGAAGAGAUGAGGAUGGUUCUGGGUUGAAUUGUACCCGCCCCCCCCCAAAAAAGAUAUGGCAGUCCUAACCCUGUGAAAGUGACCAUAUUUGGAAACAGCAUCUUUGCAGAUGGUCAAGUUAAGAUCAGGCCACGAAGGAAUGAGAUGGACCAGAGAGCAGCAGCCUGCCCAGCAUGGUACUGACCUUCAUCGUAGAGCUGAACAGUGUGGGUGGAUAUGAUCACUGGCAUCCCAUUCUGAUCACACGUGCUGUCGGAUGCCUGAAACACAACAGGUGUCUGUUACUGGGCAGGUCUUCAGGGAAAAUUGGAAGAACUCCGGGAAUAGCCUGAAGAUCACUUCCCAGAAUUAAAUUUCAUUUUCAGGCUGUUUCUGGUCACUCCUGAGCUUUCUAUCAUGCCUCAGAGUAAUGAAAUAACCUCUCCAGGGCCUGGAUUCCCCCAUCACAUGCACUCUCUGGUUUAUGCCUGUCUUAGUGAGUGUCACAGUCAGGCAGGCACCUGCCCUGGGGCACUGAGGCUCACCGGCACUUACCUAACCAGGAUGGAGCAAGAAUUUAACAUGCUGAUUCCCAAACCUGGGGGUUAGCUCACUCCACCACCUGACACACACCAACACAACCAUCAGCCAGGAUGCUGGUCAACAAGCCUGUCAGAUACAGGAGGUGCAGUGUGGUGUGCGCGCGCGCGUGUGUGUGUGUGUGUGUGUGUGUGUGUUUUAUGUGCUCUUCUUCAUACUCCCUCUCUUUAUCUUCAUUGUUGUAAACACUUUAUAAUUUCAGGGCACUGCCCUGAUUAUUUUCCUCUUCUGUUACUUAGUAUAGAUACUUUCAAAGAUUAUCAAGACACAUAUACACACAAACGUUCAUACUCACAUGGGAAGAAAAACAGUUGCACAAGAGUAUGUCAUAUAAUGCCAUUUUGUGAUCCAAUAAUCUAAUUGUACUCCUAAUCAUUAAUAUCAAUCGAAUCUUAAUUAUGUUAAGUAUUUAACAUACUGUCUUGUUUUGAUACUACUAUUAAUAGUAAGACCAUAUACUAAUAAAUGCAGAAGGUAAAAAACUAAAGGCCAGCUCCUAAAGGUGGGACUCUCCUCCUAAGGAGGGAGGAGAGAGAAGGCUUCCCUUUGUGUUUUGUAAUGGUCAAAAUUGUUUAAAAUAAGUCUGUGUUCUCAAACCUAUCAACACCACACCAAGAAAACAUCAGAUCACAUGGCUCAGACGAUGCUACCAGCUCUCCUGGGGAUCAAUAUUUAUAUAAAUUUGAUGUAUUGAGUAAAUAGACUAUCUUAAGUAUUUCAGAAUCAAUUGCCUUUUUAAAAAAAAUCGGGGGUUGGAGAUGUGACUCAAGCGGUAGCGCGCU